rnacentral:rRNA from 1 species
UACGUAGGGUGCGAGCGUUAAUCGGAAUUACUGGGCGUAAAGCGUGCGCAGGCGGUGAUGUAAGACCGAUGUGAAAUCCCCGGGCUUAACCUGGGAACUGCAUUGGUGACUGGCAGGCUUUGAGUGUGGCAGAGGGAGGUAGAAUUCCACGUGUAGCAGUGAAAUGCGUAGAGAUGUGGAGGAAUACCGAUGGCGAAGGCAGCCCCCUGGGAUAACACUGACGCUCAUGCACGAAAGCGUGGGGAGCAAACAGG